CGCGACGCCGACGCCCGCAUGAAGCCCGACGGGCCGUGAGGCCGCGGGCUCAAGACGGGCACGGCGGUCGUUCGCGUCGAGGGACAAAAUGCGUUGCUCGGGCGAACGGAGUCUCGUAACGAGACCCCACGCCCGCGCACAACGUUCCGCAUCCGAGAGAACGGGCAUAGCACACCGUGGGCCGAGGCAGCCAGCGACUGGGCGAGGCUUGCCGGGGACACGGGGCGUGCCUGACGUCCACCCCGCAACCCGCGAGGGCUGGGGGCGGAGAGGGACGAACGGGACCGUCGGAUUCCUUUCGAUAGGUAGGCAACACAGGAUACCGAAUGCACCCGCAAGGCCGCGAAGGCACGUUCGGGUAGACUGAAGCGGAUGGGGAGUCGACAGUUCAAUGCACGAGCACGGAGCCU
rnacentral:misc_RNA from 1 species